UACAGAGACUGCAAGCGUUAUUCGGAUUCACUGGGCGUAAAGGGUGCGCAGGCGGUCUGUCACGUCUGCCGUGAAAACCCGAGGCUUAACCUCGUGGCUUGCGGUGGAUACGGGCAGACUAGAGGUAGGUAGGGGAGAACGGAAUUCCCGGUGUAGCGGUGAAAUGCGCAGAUAUCAGGAGGAACACCGGUGGCGAAGGCGGUAGUCUGGGCCGGUACUGACGCUGAGGAGCGAAAGCGUGGGGAGCGAACAGG
rnacentral:rRNA from 1 species